CGAAAGCCUGACGGAGCAAGACCGCGUGAGGGAGGAAGGCUCUUGGGUUGUAAACCUCUUUUCUCAGGGAAGAAGCUCUGACGGUACCUGAGGAAUCAGCCUCGGCUAACUCCGUGCCAGCAGCCGCGGUAAUACGGAGGAUGCGAGCGUUAUCCGGCAUCAUUGGGCGUAAAGAGUCUGUAGGUGGCACUUCAAGUCUGCUGUCAAAAACCGAAGCUUAACUUCGGAAAGGCGGUGGAAACUGAAGAGCUAGAGUAAAGCAGGGGUAGAGGGAAUUCCCAGUGUAGCGGUGAAAUGCGUAGAGAUUGGGAAGAACACCAGUGGCGAAGGCGCUCUACUGGGCUAAAACUGACACUGAGAGACGAAAGCUAGGGGAGCG
rnacentral:rRNA from 1 species